rnacentral:rRNA from 1 species
GACGAACGCUGGCGGCCUGUCUAAUACAUGCAAGUCGAACGCAUUUUCUUUCACCGUAGCUUGCUACACCGAAAGAAAAUGAGUGGCGAACGGGUGAGUAACACGUGGGUAACCUGCCCAUCAGCGGGGGAUAACACUUGGAAACAGGUGCUAAUACCGCAUAAUUUCAUUUACCGCAUGGUAGAUGGAUGAAAGGCGCUUUUGCGUCACUGAUGGAUGGACCCGCGGUGCAUUAGCUAGUUGGUGGGGUAACGGCCUACCAAGGCUGCGAUGCAUAGCCGACCUGAGAGGGUGAUCGGCCACACUGGGACUGAGACACGGCCCAGACUCCUACGGGAGGCAGCAGUAGGGAAUCUUCGGCAAUGGACGCAAGUCUGACCGAGCAACGCCGCGUGAGUGAAGAAGGUUUUCGGAUCGUAAAACUCUGUUGUUAGAGAAGAACAAGGAUGAGAGUGGAAAGUUCAUCCCUUGACGGUAUCUAACCAGAAAGCCACGGCUAACUACGUGCCAGCAGCCGCGGUAAUACGUAGGUGGCAAGCGUUGUCCGGAUUUAUUGGGCGUAAAGCGAGCGCAGGCGGUCUUUUAAGUCUGAUGUGAAAGCCCCCGGCUUAACCGGGGAGGGUCAUUGGAAACUGGGAGACUUGAGUGCAGAAGAGGAAAGCGGAAUUCCAUGUGUAGCGGUGAAAUGCGUAGAUAUAUGGAGGAACACCAGUGGCGAAGGCGGCUUUCUGGUCUGUAACUGACGCUGAGGCUCGAAAGCGUNGGGAGCAAACAGG